AUGCUUGCUCAGCAGCACAUAUACUAAAAUUGGACUGAUACAGAGAAGAUUAGCAUGGCCCCUGGACAAGGAUGAUGCACAAAUUCAUGAAGCAUUUCAUAUUUUU
ensembl:snRNA U6 U6 spliceosomal RNA